rnacentral:rRNA from 1 species
UACGAAGGGUCCAAGCGUUGUUCGGAAUUACUGGGCGUAAAGCGUGCGUAGGCGGGUCGGAAAGUCGAUUGUGAAAUCCCUGGGCUUAACCUAGGAACUGCAGUCGAAACUCCCGAUCUUGAAUGUCUGAGAGGAUGGCGGAAUUCCCGGUGUAGUAGUGAAAUACGUAGAUAUCGGGAAGAACACCUGAGGCGAAGGCGGCUAUCUGGCGGUACAUUGACGCUGAUGCAUGAAAGCGUGGGGAGCAAACAGG